GUGUGGUUGACCAUAUGAGUUGA
rnacentral:siRNA from 1 species